CGCUGGCGGCGUGCCUAACACAUGCAAGUCGAACGGAGCAGAGACUUCGGUUUUUGCUUAGUGGCGAACGGGUGAGUAACGCGUGAGAGACCUGCCUUUCAGUGGGGGACAACAGUUGGAAACGACUGCUAAUACCGCAUAACGCGUAGAGGUCGCAUGGCCUUUACGCCAAAGAUUUAUCGCUGAAAGAUGGCCUCGCGUCUGAUUAGCUAGUUGGUGAGGUAACGGCCCACCAAGGCGACGAUCAGUAGCCGGACUGAGAGGUUGAACGGCCACAUUGGGACUGAGAUACGGCCCAGACUCCUACGGGAGGCAGCAGUGGGGAAUAUUGGGCAAUGGGCGCAAGCCUGACCCAGCAAUGCCGCGUGAAGGAAGAAGGCUUUCGGGUUGUAAACUUCUUUUGUCAGGGACGAGUAGAAGACGGUACCUGACGAAUAAGCCACGACUAACUACGUG
rnacentral:rRNA from 1 species